CGCCAUUUUGUUUCCAUGCGCGCGACGUAAAAAAUCUGUCUAAAAUCAUACUAGGCUACUGCUGUUUCUACAUUAAAGUGAGUUUUACGUUGCUACUUGUUGCAACUAUUGGACUAUGAUUUACUUCUUCAGAAGCUCGAUAUGUGUCGUUUCCUGAUCAUCGUGGUUUCGGGUGAGAGCGCUACCGAAAUACAGAGAUUCCAAAUGAACCGUUUGCAAGAUUUCAGUUGUUUCUGUCAAUGUUUGCACUGCAGGAGAGACGUUGUAUUGUUCAAACAACCGAUCUGAACAGUUCUGACGCUCUUCAAGGAAAACCUCGCGCUUUGGCCUCGGAAUUCCAACAUUUAUAGCCGUGUUGUUCUGUACGCGUUUCUUUCUGCACUGAAUGGUAUAAAUAAAACGAUGGCUCAUCAUCAGAAGCUCAAGUUACAAAAGGUGUAAUGGACACAAAACUACAGUUCAAGUUGUUUGCUUUAACAACAUCAUCAGGUGAGGAACAUCAGCGAGAAAAUAUAACCAUUUGGUUGGACUUUGAGGAUGUACUACUUUGCUAACAGUAUUGCAGUGUCUUCCAGUCAUGAGGCCAAAGCUUCUCCACAGUGCUCGGUUUGCAGAUCCCAUGUCACUAGUCACAGCUAUGACAUUUCCGUCAGUGGAGUUUCCUGUGAAAUGGUAUGCUACUGUCUGUUUCCACCGUGAUGACAGUCCUCCCAACAUAAACACAAGAGCAUGAGUGGCACUACCACAAUGACCAGGCAAAGUCACAUUCCCAAGCAAUUGUCCACUACUUGCAUCAUACUCAAUACUAGGUGUAAUGGACAUUUCAUCUAAUGUGAGACAGCAGACUCUUUCCUCUUCACACAAAUUAUUUACCUUCACUGCUAAGUAUUCAAAAACUUGGCUGAGUAUGCCGGGCUCAAAUAGAACUGUUUCCAUCCGUCGUUGAAGAGUUCGAAGAGAUGGUAAAGGGUACUGCUGUUUUAAAAAUGACCACCGAAUUCCUCGCAUUCCUCGGGACAAUGCUAGCAGCUGAUCUUCAGCAAACAGUUUUUUAAUCUUUGAUUCCUGACUUGCCAUUUGCUUAGCAAGUGCAUUAUUUCUUCUUGUAAUUUUGUGCAGUUUGGC